rnacentral:sRNA from 1 species
AUGGGUGAAAUACAGUUUUUCUUCACGAAGCCGAUAAGAUACUAAGAGUCGAAUCCUUCUAGAAACUAAACCGACAGAAAGCAAAUUAUUUUUGAAAAUUAAGCUCAAACAAAAGAGGCUAAAUAUAAAGAUAGCAAGGUAAUAGUCAUUAACAUUUGUUGUGAAUAAUCUAGUUUGGGCU